GUGCUCGCUUCGGCAGCACAUAUACUAAAAUUGGAACGAUACAGAGAAGAUUAGCAUGGCCCCUGCGCAAGGAUGAAAAUAAUUUGUCUAGGUGUAUUUUUCU
rnacentral:snRNA from 1 species